rnacentral:rRNA from 1 species
GACGAACGCUGGCGGCGUGCCUAAUACAUGCAAGUAGAACGCUGAAGGAGGAGCUUGCUUCUCUGGAUGAGUUGCGAACGGGUGAGUAACGCGUAGGUAACCUGCCUGGUAGCGGGGGAUAACUAUUGGAAACGAUAGCUAAUACCGCAUAAGAGUAGAUGUUGCAUGACAUUUGCUUAAAAGGUGCAAUUGCAUCACUACCAGAUGGACCUGCGUUGUAUUAGCUAGUUGGUGGGGUAACGGCUCACCAAGGCGACGAUACAUAGCCGACCUGAGAGGGUGAUCGGCCACACUGGGACUGAGACACGGCCCAGACUCCUACGGGAGGCAGCAGUAGGGAAUCUUCGGCAAGGGACGGAAGUCUGACCGAGCAACGCCGCGUGAGUGAAGAAGGUUGUCGGAUCGUAAAGCUCUGUUGUAAGAGAAGAACGAGUGUGAGAGUGGAAAGUUCACACUGUGACGGUAUCUUACCAGAAAGGGACGGCUAACUACGUG